UUGGUGAAUUUAAAGCCAGAAAAGGUUGGUUCGAGAGAUUUAAGAAUCGUAGUGGCAUACACAGUGUGAUAAGGCCUGUUCUGGAAGAAAAUGCCAAACAGGACCUACAGUACUCAGGAGGAAAAGGCACUCCCAGGACACAGUGUCUCAUCAGUCAUUGCUGCAUCUUCAAUAAAGGUAAGUGUCAUUUAUUCUUCAUUUAGUAGAGUAGUACAUGCACAAUAUAUAUUGUGCAUGUACUACUCUACUAUUGUGCAUGUAUCCUUCUCUUUGUGUGUAGGAAAAUGUAUAUUUCAUGUGGUAAAAUUGUUUUUUUCAUACUUUUGGGUGUCUUGCACGGAUUAAUUUGAUUUCCAUUAUUUCUUAUGGGGAAAAUUCAUUCGCAUAACGAUAAUUUCGCAUAACAAUGAGCUCUCUUGCACGGAUUAAUAUCGCUAUGCGGGGGUCCACUGUAGUUAUUUACUGUUGACUCGUCAUGAAGUCAGAAUGAGAUCUUGCUAGUGUCUUUAGGCAAUUUACAUAAGUUGGUUAUGAGGAAGGUGGGGUAGUGGUUUGUUGUGUUAUCUGUGAUUAUCCCUGCUUUUAGUGUGGGCAUAGUAUUGGUCUAGAUAUGGUCAAGUAAUGAGGCACUUGUCUCAGAGAUUCUUGUUGGCUUGGUAAUAGAUGAUAGUAGCAAGCAUUUGUAUAUAGUGUUUAUGAGGUUUGCUACUUGAGGGUCAGCUGCUUGGAUAAGGUUUAUGUUGAAGUUGCCAGCAAGUAUCAGGUGGUGUUUAUUCAUCGCUGAGUCAGUUAUAAUGUUUUUUAGGUUAUAUCUGAAUGUGUAAGAAUUUGUAGACUACUCCAACUGUAAUAGGGUUUUUUUAAUGAGAAUUUUGCAAAUAUGUAUUCACCAUUUUCAUCCCUGGUGCAAGUAGAUUUACUGCAUUCUAAUUCAUCAUAGUGGUAGAUAGCAGUGCCACCUCGCAGUUGGUUAGGGCUACAGAUAUGUAUGGCUGUGUAACCAUGUAAGGCAGUGAUGUCAGUGAAGUCAAGUUUGAGGCAGGUUUCAGUAAGAAUAAUGAUAGACAUGUUAACAUUUAGUUAAUUUGAAUUAAGCAGUGGUAAGAGGUCAUCAUAGUGUAUACUCAGUGAUCUAACAUCAAACUGUGUCAUACAUAAAGCUUGCAAAUCAAGUAAAAUAUUGUCAUAUAGAAAACUUGAAAAUCAAACAAAACAUUAUCAAAUAUAAUGCUUGGAAAUCAAGCAAAACAUUGCCAUGUAUAGUUUGUAAAUCAAGCAAAACAUUGUCAUGCAUAUCUUGUAAAUCAAGCUAAACAUUGCCAUGUAUAGCUUGUAAAUCAAGCAAAACAUUGUCAUGCAUAUCUUGUAAAUCAAGCUAAACAUUGCCAUGUAUAGCUUGUAAAUCAAGCAAAACAUUGUCAUUUAAAGUGCAGACAUUGUACUUCCCAUUUCCAGGGCUCAAGUCCGGCUAACCAGUUUCCCUGAAUCCCUUCACAAAGUAUUACCCUGCUUACAUUCCAACCAAUACUUUCAGAUGCACAGGGGGAUGGUCCACAAUGGGAUGGUUGGUUUGGGCCCUCAGGUCGUAAUGAAACUGCACCAGAAACGAACUUGGAGGUUAUACUGCAACAGAUUCUCAAUUCUUCUGUUGCCAAAGCUGUGAAAACUAUUAAUCCUCAUGCUUAUGAAGAUAUAAAAGAAUUGAGAAAGGAAGCAGAGAUAUACUGCAGUCCCAUUCCAGAAAAUACUCCAGCUUGCAACUCUUCAGAGACACCCUGCUUGUUUCACAUACCCAGUGAUCCUUGUGAAUAUACUGACCUUUCUGCAACUCACAAAGAUGUCUUGGCUAUACUGGAGGCCAGUCUGAGACGGUAUAAUUCAACUGCUGUUCCUCCACUUAACACACCCUGGGAUCCUUCUUCCAAUCCAAAGUAUUGGGGUUAUUCAUGGACAAACUGGAAAGAUUUUCCUAGUCCAAAUGUAGUGAAUUCAGAAAUAAAUUAUGAAAAAUGAAAAAGUUAAGUAGUAAUAUGUGUAAUGACAUGUAUAAUGACCCAGUUUUUUCUUCUAAUCUUGCUUCCUUCUUAGAAAUACAUAAUCAGGACCAUAAAAGGCAAAUAUAUACACAUACAUGUUUCUGCCAACAAAGAUGACUUAUUGUACUUUGUUCCACCCAAGCGGCUAGCUUAUUAUGUACCCACAGUUCAUCCUGUGAGCAGUAGUGCAAAAUUAGAGGUUUACAGAGGUCACACUAGAUCCCUGUCAGACCCCACUGGGCAUAACAACUUUCAUCUUUAAAAUAUUAGUCAUUUCAUAUUUAAUAAUUUCAUCAUAUAGUUAAUCUACCCAAAGCAGUUUGUGGAUAAUGUAAAGAAAAAUAAAUAAUCUUAAUACCACUACAAAUAAUUGUCAUUUAGUUUUAGUAAUUAUAAUAUUAUACUAAUAUUAUAAUUACUAAAACUAUAUACUUAGCUCAUGUAAGAUUACUGAUACAGGUUGGUCAUCACUAAUCCGGCAAUCAGUUAUCCAGUUCCAUCAGUAAUCCGGCACUAAUUUUCGGCUAGCAUAAUUUCAAAUUUCAUCAUUACACUGACUCAGAAAGUGUGCAGAUGGUUGUAAAUUCACAGCAGCAAGCCAGUGGAGGAGAAAGCGUUGAUGAAAAUGAGGAAGAUAUAGCAGAAAGAGUCUCUACUGAUAGGUUAAGUGUAUUCUAACCUAACCACUCUGUAAUCCGGCAAACUCGCUAAUCUGGCACACUGUAGGUCCCAAUGAUGCCAGAUUAGUGAUGGUCAACCUGUACUGUACUUUGCACCAGUUUUAGUACUGCAAAACAGUAAAACCAUUUAAAGAAAUUGCAAAUACAAAAGGAAGGCUUAAGAAGGAGUUACUAAAAUAUAUAAUAUAAGGAAAAAUUGGGCAAAAUUAGUGUUGCUUAUAGAAUAUGUGAAAUCACUGUUAUAGCAGCCACAUAAAAAUGUGGCUGCUAUAACAUUUUCAUUACCACUCUGGCAGAUAACAACUUGUGACAUCACCAUGCCCAGCUACCCUCCUCACAUUCUGAUUAGGCAAAAUCUUCAUCUUGGACAAACAUCUAAAUUCAAUGCUCUCAAAUACAUACACGACCUGUUGAUUAAAAUAUCCUAAACCAUCUAUAUAGAUGGCUUUAACUGCUGGUCGGAGGGCAGAAAGUACAAAGUGCUGUCAUCAUAAACCAGCCUGAUGUUAAUAGAAUAUAAUAUGAAGAUGCAUUACAAUUACUAACAGGGCUUCCAUUUUACGGACUGAACAACCGCUGUUGAUAUAUACAAAAUCAAUGUUCAGGUUGAACUAACUAUGAUAUAUGUCUAGUAUUAAGUAUAGUCUGUAAUGUUUUAGGUUUAGUCUGCCUGAAAUGCCUCGGCUUUCUUUGCAUUUGCAAAUCAACAUUGUAAUUUAACAUGAUUCAAUAUAAUUUUCAGGAAUA